AUCAUUUAAUUUAGAUUAUGAAAAUUUAAAAAUAAUUCUUAUUUUUAAAUGAAAGAGCGUUUGUCAAGGCGCUCCUGAUUAAAACUAAUAAGGAAAAAGAAUAACACGUUAUAUUUAUACAUAUAUUUAUUCGGAUUUUUUAUAUUCUU
rnacentral:antisense_RNA from 1 species